rnacentral:tRNA from 1 species
AGUUCUUUAGUUUAUUAUGAAUUUUUUAUUUACGAUAAGAGGGUUGAAGGAUUU